rnacentral:rRNA from 1 species
GACGAACGCUGGCGGCGUGCUUAACACAUACAAGUCGAACGGAAAGGCCCUGCUUUUGUGGUGUGCUCGAGUGGCGAACGGGUGAGUAACACGAGUAUAACCUGCCCUUGACUUUGGGAUAACUUCAGGAAACUGGGGCUACUACCGGAUAUGAGCUCCUGCUGCAUGGUGUGGGUUGGAAAGUUUCGGCGGUUGGGGAUGGACUCGCGGCUUAUCAGCUUGUUGGUGGGGUAGUGGCUGACCAAGGCUUUGACGGGUAGCCGGCCUGAGAGGGUGACCGGCCACAUGGGGACUGAGAUACGGCCCAGACUCCUACGGGAGGCAGCAGUGGGGAAUAUUGCACAAUGGGCGGAAGCCUGAUGCAGCAACGCCGCGUGCGGGAUGACGGCCUUCGGGUUGUAAACCGCUUUCGCCUGUGACGAAGCGUGAGUGACGGUAAUGGGAAAAGAAGCACCGGCUAACUACGUG